GGUCCCACCUGACCCCAUGCCGAACUCAGUAGUGAAACGCCGUAGCGCCGAUGGUAGUGUGGGGUCUCCCCAUGUGAGAGUAGGGAACUGCCAGGU
rnacentral:rRNA from 1 species